CCUACGGUCGACAGCAGUGAGGAAUAUUGGUCAAUGGGCGCGAGCCUGAACCCGCCAAGUAGCGUGAAGGAUUACUGCCCUACGGGUUGUAAACUUCUUUUAUAAAGGAAUAAAGUGAGGCACGUGUGCCUUUUUGUCUGUACUUUAUUAAUAAGGAUCGGCUAACUCCGUUCCAUCAGCCGCGGUAAUACGGAGUAUCCUAGCGUUAUCCGGAUUUAUUUGGUUUAAAGGGAGCGUAGAUGGGUUGUUAAGUCAGUUGUGAAAGUUUGCGGCUCAACCGUAAAAUUGCAAUUGAUACUGGCAGUCGUGAGUACAGUUGAGGUAGGCGGAAUUCGUGGUGUAGCGGUGAAAUGCUUAGAUAUCACGAAGAACUCCGAUUGCGAAGGCAGCUUACUAAACUGCCACUGACAUUGAUGAUCGAAAGUGUGGGUAUCAAACAGGAUGAGAUACCCUUGUAGUC
rnacentral:rRNA from 1 species